GUUUGUUUCACCUCAAAUCGUUGCCACUGUGCUCAGUUAUUUUGGGUCCUGUUUCCUCUUUCUGGCGGCGCGGAUAUGCAGAUCCCUCCGCCCUGCUAGUCACGGAACCGGGCUGAACCAGCCCGUAAACUGUUGACACUCUUCUCUCCUCUCUUCUCCUCUCCUUCCCUCUUUCCUUUGUUUUCCUUCCCUUCUCCCUUCCCCUCCUUUUUCCUUUUCCUUUCCCUUUCCUCUUCUUCCUUUUCCUUUUCUUCCUUUUCUUCCUUUUCCUUUUCUUCCUUUUCUUCCUUUUCUUCCUUUUCCUUUUCUUCCUUUUCCUUUUCUUCCUUUUCCUUUUCUUCCUUUUCCUUUUCUUCCUUUUCUUCCUUCUCUUCUUUUUCUUCCUUUUUCUCCUUUUCUUCCUUUUUCUCCUUUUCUUCCUUUUCCUCCUUUUCCUCCUUUUCUUCCUUUUUUUCCUUUUCCUUUUCUUCCUUUUCCUCCUUUUCUUCCUUUUCCUCCUUUUCUUCCUUUUUUUCCUUUUCCUCCUUUUCCUUUUCCUCCUUUUCCUUUUCCUCCUUUUCCUUUUCUUCCUUGUCUUCCUUUUCCUUUUCCUCCUUUUCCUUGUCUUCCUUUUCCUCCUUUUCCUUGUCUUCCUUUUCCUCCUUUUCCUUGUCUUCCUUUCCCUCCUUUUCCUUGUCUUCCUUUCCCUCCUUUUCCUUGUCUUCCUUUUCCUCCUUUUCCUUGUCUUCCUUUCCCUUUUCUUCCUUUUCCUUUCCCUUUUCCUUUCCCUUUCCUCCUCUUCCUUUUCCUCUUCCUCCUUUUCCUCUUCUUCCUUUUCCUCUUCCUCCUUUUCCUCUUCCUCCUUUUCCUCUUCCUCCUUUUCCUCUUCUUCCUUUUCCUUUUCCUUUUCCUCCUUUUUCUUAUUGGCUUUGCUUCACUUCGCUUCACUUUCUUCUACCACCUCCACCGUUGAAGACAAAACUCUCUGAUUCUCCUCCACGUCUCACUAGGGAAAGAAAAGUCUCAAGUCGUGACUG
rnacentral:lncRNA from 1 species